rfam:Cavia porcellus supercont2_155 genomic scaffold, whole genome shotgun sequence.
GGAGGUUUAGCUCAGCGGCAUAAGCACCUGCCUUGCAAGCAGGCAGUCUGAGUUCGAUCCUUGGUACCGAUA